AUUGAACGCUGGCGGCAUGCCUUACACAUGCAAGUCGAACGGUAGAGGGGGCAACCCCUUGAGAGUGGCGAACGGGUGAGUAAUGCAUCGGAACGUGCCCAGUCGUGGGGGAUAGUCCGGGGAAACCCGGAUUAAUACCGCAUACGACCUGAGGGUGAAAGCGGGGGACCGAAAGGCCUCGCGCGAUUGGAGCGGCCGAUGUCGGAUUAGGUAGUUGGUGGGGUAAAGGCCGACCAAGCCUGCGAUCCGUAGCUGGUCUGAGAGGACGACCAGCCACACUGGGACUGAGACACGGCCCAGACUCCGACGGGGGGCAGCAGUGGGGAAUUUUGGACAAUGGGCGCAAGCCUGAUCCAGCCAUGCCGCGUGCGGGAAGAAGGCCUUCGGGUUGUAAACCGCUUUUGUCAGGGAAGAAAUCCUUUGGACUAAUACUCUGGGGGGAUGACGGUACCUGAAGAAUAAGCACCGGCUAACUACGUGCCAGCCGCCGCCGUAA
rnacentral:rRNA from 1 species